rnacentral:RNase_P_RNA from 1 species
GGCAGAGAAAGCUCAUCAGUGGGGCCACUUCAUACUGUGCUUAUCACUCAUGACCCUCUGGGAAGCUUCUGAGCCUGGGGCCUCCCAUAACCCUAAUCGGACCUCUCCCUGGGCUGAUAGGAAAGUGCCCAGAGAGCAGGACUCUGUACCUGUAGGAGAGGCCUAGUUUGGACAAUGUUCCUUUACCAGAACUUGGAACAGACUUUCACCCAACACAGCAGGUUCAAGGGUGGGGUGAGGUACCUAGGUCUCACAGCCCAAUUCUGACUACUGUCCCCAAACU